rnacentral:rRNA from 1 species
GACGAACACUGGCGGCAUGCCUAAUACAUGCAAGUCGAGCGAACAGAUGAAGUGCUUGCACUUCUGACGUUAGCGGCGAACGGGUGAGUAACACGUAAGGAAUCUACCUAUAAGCGGGGGAUAACAUUCGGAAACGGGUGCUAAUACCGCAUAAUAUCUUCUUCCGCAUGGAAGAAGAUUGAAAGACGGCUCUGCUGUCACUUAUAGAUGACCUUGCGGUGCAUUAGUUAGUUGGUGGGGUAACGGCCUACCAAGACGAUGAUGCAUAGCCGACCUGAGAGGGUGAUCGGCCACAGUGGGACUGAGACACGGCCCAAACUCCUACGGGAGGCAGCAGUAGGGAAUCUUCCGCAAUGGGCGAAAGCCUGACGGAGCAAUGCCGCGUGAGUGAAGAAAGCCUUCGGGUCGUAAAACUCUGUUAUAAGAGAAGAACAAAUUGUAGAGUAACUGCUACAGUCUUGACGGUAUCUUAUCAGAAAGCCACGGCUAACUACGUGCCAGCCGCCGCCGUAA